rnacentral:rRNA from 1 species
UACGUAAGUGGCGAGCGUUAUCCGGAAUACUGGGCGUAAAGCGUGCGUAGGCGGUUUAGUGUGUGGGAAUUGAAAGCCCGGGGCUCAACUCCGGAUCCGGUUCCCAACUGACUAGACUCGAGCGUAUCAGAGGACAGUGGAAUUCCCGGUGUAGCGGUGGAAUGCGUAGAUAUCGGGAGGAACAUCUGUGGCGAAGGCGACACCCUGGACCAGCACUGACACUGAGGCACGAAAGCAGGGAGCAAACAGG